rnacentral:rRNA from 1 species
GACGAACGCUGGCGGCGUGCUUAACACAUGCAAGUCGAACGAGUGGCGAACGGGGGCGUAACACGUGGGUGAACUGCCCUGCACUUCGGGCUAAGCCUGGGAAACUGGGUCGAAUACCGGUUAGUGUGGGAUGGGCCCGCGGCCUAUCAGCUUGUUGGUGGGGUAAUGGCUACCAAGGCGCGACGGGUAGCCGGCCUGAGAGGGUGGACGGCCACAUUGGGACUGUGACACUGCCCAGACGCCUACGGUAGGCAGCAGUGGGGAAGAUUGCACAAUGGGCGGAAGCCUGAUGCAGCGACGCCGCGUGGGGGAUGACGGCCUUAGGGUUGUAAAGUACUUUCAUCAGGGAGGCGUUACCCGCAGAAGAAGCACCGGCUAACUCCGUGCCAGCAGCCGCGGUAAUAC